CCUCCUCCUCCCCCUGCUCCUCCCCCUUCCCCCCACCUCAUCUCAGCUGCGGCUAAAACCUGGAGUCUUGGGGAAAAAGAGAAAAAAAAAAAAAGACCUUCAGCUGUGGAGCCGUCAAACCGGGCAUGCUCAGUA
rnacentral:sRNA from 1 species